GGCCACCGCCCAACCGGUUCAGAGGGCGCUGCGGUUCAGUUUAGCCGUUCUCUCUUAGUUUCAGAGUUAGAAUCUGAGUUUACUUGUGGCGUUGAGGUUGCUUCUACUAUUGAGAAAGACACGCGGAAUCGGGAUUUUGAUUGUCAAUUUCGGGUUGAGGCAGAAAGGACACUGUGACGCGUUUGGGUUAUGAAUUUGCGUUUUGAGGAUAUGGCGCAGAAGUUAUAAAGAGUUCAUUUAGUUGUUGUUGAGAUGCU